UAAGAUUGUAGUAUCGCAUGAUAUAGCAUUAAAGGAGCAAUUCGCUAUAAGAUGGACCCGCGUCGCAUUAGCUAGUUGGUGAGGUAAUGGCUCACCAAGGCGACGAUGCGUAGCCGACCUGAGAGGGUGAUCGGCCACAUUGGGACUGAGACACGGCCCAGACUCCUACGGGAGGCAGCAUG
rnacentral:rRNA from 1 species